rfam:Alkalibacter saccharofermentans DSM 14828 genome assembly, contig: EJ14DRAFT_scaffold00012.12
UUUAUGCGAUGAAGAGGAAGGUUGCUUAUCCCAUGAGGAAAUUUUCUCGGAGUAUGUCCAGAUUGCAAAUCGGGCGACAG